UUAAGGUUUUUUAUCUCUCUUUAGCACAACACAUGCUGAAACACACCCAUGCUUGACAAAUUCUAUACUGCCGGGACCAGCUCAGUUUUUAAACAUUCUCCCCCAUAAAGUUUAUUCCCCAGGCCUUUGUGCCCACAGAAUAUUUGAAAUAAUAACUCAAUUAUUCCAUGCAGCUUGGUUUAUUCUAAACCUGGUGCUAAACAAAAGAAUCCUAGAGGAAGCUAGACUUCCCAUUUGAACUUGUGACCUUGGAUGACUAAUUUGAGGAUAGACCCUGAAUCCUUUCCUAUUAGCUUC
rnacentral:lncRNA from 1 species